UACGUAGGGGGCAAGCGUUGUCCGGAAUCAUUGGGCGUAAAGAGCGUGUAGGCGGCUCGGUAAGUCCGCUGUAAAAGUCCAGGGCUCAACCCUGGAAAGCCGGUGGAAACUGUCGAGCUAGAGUCCGGAAGAGGCGAGUGGAAUUCCUGGUGUAGCGGUGAAAUGCGCAGAUAUCAGGAGGAACACCAAUGGCGAAAGCGCCUGUCUGGCACAAUACUGACGCUGAUGCGCGAAAGCUAGGGGAGCAAACAGG
rnacentral:rRNA from 1 species